rnacentral:rRNA from 1 species
GGGCCCGCACAAGCGGUGGAGCAUGUGGUUUAAUUCGACGCAACGCGAAGAACCUUACCAGCUCUUGACAUUGCUAAGUCGCGAGUUUUAGAGAUAAAACUCUUCAGUUCGGCUGGACUUAGUACAGGUGCUGCAUGGCUGUCGUCAGCUCGUGUCGUGAGAUGUUGGGUUAAGUCCCGCAACGAGCGCAACCCUUGUCCUUAGUUGCCAGCAAUUCGGUUGGGCACUCUAGGGAGACUGCCGGUGAUAAACCGGAGGAAGGCGGGGAUGACGUCAAGUCCUCAUGGCCCUUACGGCCUGGGCUACACACGUGCUACAAUGGCUAGGACAGACGGCCGCAAACCCGCGAGGGGGAGCCAAUCCGACAAACCUAGUCGUAGUCCGGAUCGGAGUCUGCAACUCGACUCCGUGAAGUCGGAAUUGCUAGUAAUCG